GUCAGAAGUGAAAACACUUCGUCUUGGUCAGAUGUGAGAGAAGGACUGAGAGGAACACAGAGCAGCUUCUUCUCUCCCCAAGUUUCUUCACACAUGGAAAAGAGUCUGUAAGAAGAUGUGAAGAGAGUUCAGGUGUGUGUUCUGCCAUGGAUCAGUGUGAGGACAGAGAGGAGGGAGUCCCUCCCUCUAACAGGACUCUGUGUGGAGAACAUGAGAACCAGACCAAAGCUCAGAGCUCUGACUCUGAGUUUCCAUCCAGCUGUUUGUCCCUGAAGAGUAACUGGUCGAUGUGGGAACCCAUUUCAUUUCAACCUGGAGCAGGAAGUCCUGAUGAGGGCGUCAGCCAGCAGAGCUCCCAGGCUCUCCGUGGAGGCUCCGCCCCUCAGCAUCAAA